AGAGCGAACGCUGGCGGCAGGCCUAACACAUGCAAGUCGAGCGCCCGUAGCAAUACGGGAGCGGCAGACGGGAUAGUAACACGUGGGAACGCGCCCUUCGGUUCGGAAUAACUCAGGGAAACUUGAGCUAAUACCGGAUACGCCCUUACGGGGAAAGAUUUAUUGCCGAAGGAACGGCCCGCGUCCGAUUAGCUAGUUGGUGAGGUAAUGGCUCACCAAGGCGACGAUCGGUAGCUGGUCUGAGAGGAUGACCAGCAUCACUGGGACUGAGACGCGGCCCAGACUCCUACGGGAGGCAGCAGUGGGGAAUAUUGGACAAUGGGCGCAAGCCUGAUCCAGCCAUGCCGCGUGGAUGAUGAAGGCCUUAGGGUUGUAAAGUCCUUUUAACGGGGAAGAUAAUGACGGUACCCGUAGAAUAAGCCCCGGCUAACUUCGUGCCAGCAGCCGC
rnacentral:rRNA from 1 species